CCAAGGGCCAUGGAUAGUUCUUUCAUGGUCCCCCUCAAAGAGCGAAGCUCAUUGGAGCCUUGUAUCAUAACGGCCUGGGCUCUCUCGAACAACUACCUCUGAAGGCGGACAACCUCAUCAGUCACCGUCUUGAGCUUCCUUCGGUAGUCAUCUACUUGCCCGCACCAGCUGACUCGAUAGGUAUUGUAGUUCGCCUUGACGUCCUGCAACUGCUUCUAAAGGUCAGAGAAUU
rnacentral:lncRNA from 1 species